rnacentral:rRNA from 1 species
AUUGAACGCUGGCGGAAUGCUUUACACAUGCAAGUCGAACGGUAGAGGGGGCAACCCCUUGAGAGUGGCGAACGGGUGAGUAAUAUAUCGGAACGUGCCCAGUCGUGGGGAUAACGUAGCGAAAGUUACGCUAAUACCGCAUACGAUCUAAGGAUGAAAGCGGGGGAUCGCAAGACCUCGCGCGAUUGGAGCGGCCGAUAUCAGAUUAGGUAGUUGGUGAGGUAAAGGCUCACCAAGCCAACGAUCUGUAGCUGGUCUGAGAGGACGACCAGCCACACUGGAACUGAGACACGGUCCAGACUCCUACGGGAGGCAGCAGUGGGGAAUUUUGGACAAUGGACGCAAGUCUGAUCCAGCCAUUCCGCGUGCAGGAUGAAGGCCCUCGGGUUGUAAACUGCUUUUGUACGGAACGAAAGGUUUCUAUUAAUACUAGGAGCUCAUGACGGUACCGUAAGAAUAAGCACCGGNUAACUACGUGCCAGCAGCCGC